rnacentral:rRNA from 1 species
ACGAACGCUGGCGGCGUGCCUAAUACAUGCAAGUCGAGCGGACUAAUUAAGAGCUUGCUCUUAUGAGGUUAGCGGCGGACGGGUGAGUAACACGUGGGCAACCUGCCCUAUAGACUGGGAUAACAUCGAGAAAUCGGUGCUAAUACCGGAUAAUUGUUGGAACUGCAUAGUUCUAACUUAAAAGAUGGCUCCGGCUAUCACUAUAGGAUGGGCCCGCGGCGCAUUAGCUAGUUGGUAAGGUAAUGGCUUACCAAGGCGACGAUGCGUAGCCGACCUGAGAGGGUGAUCGGCCACACUGGGACUGAGACACGGCCCAGACUCCUACGGGAGGCAGCAGUAGGGAAUCUUCCGCAAUGGACGAAAGUCUGACGGAGCAACGCCGCGUGAGUGAUGAAGGUUUUCGGAUCGUAAAGCUCUGUUGUUAGGGAAGAACAAGUGCCGUUCGAAUAGGGCGGCACCUUGACGGUACCUAACCAGAAAGCCACGGCUAACUACGUG